UAUUCGUAGACAGACAGAAGAGAACGAAGAAGAAAGAAGAGAACAUGAAAUUAGUUGAUCACUGACGUGCACACACACACACACACACGUGUGUUCGUUCGUGUGUUCAUUUGUAUUAUUGUGUUCCUCUCUUUCUUUCCCGUU
rnacentral:ribozyme from 14 species